rnacentral:rRNA from 1 species
CCAGACUCCUACGGGAGGCAGCAGUGAGGAAUAUUGGUCAAUGGGCGGGAGCCUGAACCAGCCAAGUCGCGUGAGGGACGACGGUCCUAUGGAUUGUAAACCUCUUUUGUCGGGGAACAAAGGCGCCCACGGGUGGGCGGAUGAGUGUACCCGAAGAAAAAGCAUCGGCUAACUCCGUGCCAGCAGCCGCGGUAAUACGGAGGAUCCGAGCGUUAUCCGGAUUCAUUGGGUUUAAAGGGUGCGUAGGUUGUUUUAUAAGUUAGCGGUGAAAUACCGAUGCUCAACAUCGGGGCUGCCGCUAAUACUGUAGGACUAGAGAUCGGAUGCAGCAGGCGGAAUGUGUAGUGUAGCGGUGAAAUGCAUAGAUAUUACACAGAACACCGAUUGCGAAGGCAGCUUGCUAGGCCGGAUCUGACACUGAUGCACGAAAGCGUGGGGAUCGAACAGGAUUAGAUACCCCCGUAU